UACGAAGGGGGCUAGCGUUGCUCGGAAUGACUGGGCGUAAAGGGCGCGUAGGCGGAUGGCACAGUCAGAUGUGAAAUUCCCGGGCUUAACCUGGGGGCUGCAUUUGAUACGUGUUGUCUUGAGUUCGGAAGAGGGUCGUGGAAUUCCCAGUGUAGAGGUGAAAUUCGUAGAUAUUGGGAAGAACACCGGUGGCGAAGGCGGCGACCUGGUCCGAUACUGACGCUGAGGCGCGAAAGCGUGGGGAGCAAACAGGAU
rnacentral:rRNA from 1 species